rnacentral:rRNA from 1 species
UUUGAUCCUGGCUCAGAACGAACGCUGGCGGCAGGCCUAACACAUGCAAGUCGAGCGAAGGAUUUCGGUCCUUAGCGGCGGACGGGUGAGUAACACGUGGGAACGUGCCCAAAGGUACGGAACAACAGUUGGAAACGACUGCUAAUACCGUAUGUGCCCUACGGGGGAAAGNNUUAUCGCCUUUGGAUCGGCCCGCGUCUGAUUAGGUAGUUGGUGGGGUAAUGGCCUACCAAGCCGACGAUCAGUAGCUGGUUUGAGAGGACGAUCAGCCACACUGGGACUGAGACACGGCCCAGACUCCUACGGGAGGCAGCAGUGGGGAAUCUUAGACAAUGGACGCAAGUCUGAUCUAGCCAUGCCGCGUGAGCGAUGAAGGCCUUAGGGUUGUAAAGCUCUUUCACUGGUGACGAUAAUGACGGUAACCAGAGAAGAAGCCCCGGCUAACUCCGUGCCAGCAGCCGCGGUAAUAAGGG